rnacentral:rRNA from 1 species
UACGGGGGGGGUAAGCGUUGUUCGGAAUUACUGGGCGUAAAGGGCUCGUAGGCGGCCAACUAAGUCGGACGUGAAAUCCCUCAGCUUAACUGGGGAACUGCGUCCGAUACUGGAAGGCUUGAAUCCGGGAGAGGGAUGCGGAAUUCCAGGUGUAGCGGUGAAAUGCGUAGAUAUCUGGAGGAACACCGGUGGCGAAGGCGGCAUCCUGGACCGGUAUUGACGCUGAGGCGCGAAAGCCAGGGGAGCAAACGGG